UUGAGCGAGCCUUUAUGGCGAGCAUUAAUAUCCAUAACACUGUGAACUGUUGAUCCUCUGGAUCAUAUUUUUUACAAACUUUUGUGUAAUGAACGUCUAUACUAUAAUCAAUA
rnacentral:misc_RNA from 1 species